rnacentral:rRNA from 1 species
UACGAAGGGGGCUAGCGUUGCUCGGAUUGACUGGGCGUAAAGGGCGCGUAGGCGGUUCGUACAGUCAGACGUGAAAUUCCUGGGCUCAACCUGGGGGCUGCGUUUGAUACGUGCGGGCUUGAGUUCGGAAGAGGGUCGUGGAAUUCCCAGUGUAGAGGUGAAAUUCGUAGAUAUUGGGAAGAACACCGGUGGCGAAGGCGGCGACCUGGUCCGAUACUGACGCUGAGGCACGAAAGCGUGGGGAGCAAACAGG